GUGAAACGUGGGUGUCUUCCUCGCCUACAUGUAAAAGCCAAAUCAGCAUAGACGUGUAAACCGGAACCAACUUGGUCUUCUCAAGAUCAAGAAAAAGAAAAACGCUUUCCUGUGUAGUCUAAAGUCUCUUUGGUGCAGCAGAUGUUAGUAAGAGAGGGUGAAAAAUCAUGGAAGAGAUUAGGCCAUCACCUCCAGUGCCACCACCAACAGCCACCGGCACAACGGCUUCAACUUCCUAGAGAAAGCCAGAGACAUCAGCGAUGUCACGGUUGAAGAAGGAGUGCUUAUCUUUUACAGUUUCGUUACAGGAAUGCUUUCGCUCUAUCAAAGCCACAUUAGUGGGUCAGGUAAGGCGCCUUGAAUUGAGGGCAAAUUGCUUAUUAUAUACAAUACUACCGAGCUGAUUAAUUAAUUGCAAGUCUUUUAAUUAACAUGUAAACAGGCGAAAAAGAUUACAGCAAGAAAUGAGAAGGAAGCAACUGCAGCUGAUUUGCAGGCCAGUAAGACGCAGAUUGAAGCAGCUGAUGAAGCUGAAAAUAUCAAGAAGAGGCUCGACAAAUCUCUGUAAUAUCCAUAUCCAUACUGUAGCAGAGAAUUGAGUACAGAUAUUUUAUAUUUUGAAUACAUAUUUAUAUAUUUCGAGCUAAAUGUAAAACUGGAUUUUCUUGGUAUAAAAUUUUAAUCAGAAAAUAGUGUCUGUAGUGGCUAUAUUAAGCAUGACUUGGUUAUUCUAAGAAUUAGAGGAAGUGGGUCCUUCCAGACGAAUGUAGUCAUACAUGAUUCCGGCCUGAAAAGGGCUUGUAAACAUUGGUUGGGUCAAGAAAAUGCUAUUAUCUCCUUCCAGGAGCUGAGCACCUGGGACCUCUACACUGUAGAGUCUGUACAAUCCAUGAAUUCCAUGUCUUGUAAUUGUGUUGUCAUGUCCAAUUACUCCAGUUGAAAAUAGGGGAGGAUUGGUUCCAGGGUCAUUAAUGCGAACCUGCACUAUUUGCAGUUGCAAGUGCCAAUCGUAGAUUAUAUGUUCCACCCUUAUUUGCAUUCACAAGGCUGAACUUAAUUUGCCAUGUAGUUCCCUGGUACUUACCAUCACCUAUUUUCCUGAAAUUUCACCAAAGCUCUGUAAUUGAAGAACUUUCAACAUCCUUGGCGUUUAAGGUUUUUAAUUUUUCUGCUUAGAUUAUGAAAAUUAUUAAAAAACAUGCGAUUAUUCGAUUAUUAGCAUACUUCUUGAAUAUAUGGUCCACAAAUUUUAAAAAUUGACUGGUGGCCUGGAGGAUUGAUUCAAACCUGGGAACUUGGGCGAAGAACCAGUCUCUGCUAUAGUCACUGGUCCCUAUAGUGUAAACCAAAUCUUCAUCAGGGUACAAAUCUGUAUAUCUUUCCCAUAGUCCAUACUGCCUGAACCUGUCCAAAGCAAAUUUUUUUUUUUCUAUGAAGAGUUAGCCCCAAUAGUUUCAUGGGAUUUACCCAUAUAAGCAUUAGUCCUCUGGGACAAUAAGCAGCGACAUGUUCUUCCUGUUCUGUAAAUUUUAGGCUAACUAACCUGUCAGGAUGACUGACAUAAAGUUUGUUGAUAUACUUGGGAUCAGGAUCAGGAACAUAGAAUUUUGCAGCAGAACGAUCAGGGAUACCUAUUUCCCACAAUGUGGGUCCAUCUCUUGGAGGUUCGUAUACUACAUCUCCCAAGUCAAUAUCGCAACCUUCAGUUAUGGUAAUGGCCGCAUCAUAUCUGUAAUCUCCAAUAAAACCAGGAACCCACCCGUUAAGGUUAUAGUUUCCGGUGCGGAUGUUAUUGAUACAGAAAUAACCAUCUUCGUCUGCUUCUGCCCAGAAUUGGUAACCCUGAGGUUGUAGAGCAAAAUCUAACUUGUGAAACAGGAUGCCAAAUUGACGUGAUGUAAGCAGAGGUCUUCUUUUACAAUCAAUCAUGAAACAGGCUGUCCUGUUUCUGUGCAAUUAAUAAAGAUUGCCGUUGAACUUAAAAUGGAAGAAAGUGGUGGUGUCCUUUUCAGGGGUAUUAUGUUCAUAUAAUAAACUUUACCUUGCUUUCAAUUUGCCAUGAUCCAGUGUCUCCUGGUGGCGCCAAUCCCACAUAAGCACCAUUUGCUGGUAUAUCAGAAUCACUAGCAUGCCUGUCUCGAACCAGCAAUCUACCACUGACACUACCACGUUGACUGCAUGAUGGAAAAUCCUCUGAAGCUGGGAAACUGUAAGGCCAGCUUUGAACUUCAAUUAACAUCUGUUCUUUCGCAUCCUCCCACAACAAAAGCGGGUCAUUUUCGUCUAACAAAGUGUUCAGAUAGAUAAAAACAGGACCAAAAACUUUCUUCCAUGGCUCGCCGUGUUUGAAUUUCAGCACCAUAUCUUCCCCAACAUAAUGGGCACUCAGAAACAU
rnacentral:misc_RNA from 1 species